UGUGGCUCAGUUGUAGAGCGCUUGCCUGAUGUGUAUGAGGCACUGGGUUCGAUUCUCAGCA
rnacentral:tRNA from 1 species